rnacentral:rRNA from 1 species
UCCGUAGGCGGUGUGGCAAGUCGGGAGUGAAAUCUCUGGGCUUAACUCAGAGGCUGCUUCCGAAACUGCCAUGCUAGAGUGUGAGAGAGGCGAGUGGAAUUACGGGUGUAGCGGUGAAAUGCGUAGAUAUCCGUAGGAACAUCCGAGGCGAAGGCGGCUCGCUGGAUCACAACUGACGCUGAGGGACGAAAGCUAGGGGAGCAAACAGGAUUAGAUACCCUGGUAGUCCUAGCCCUAAACCAUCAGGACUUGGGGUUUGCCCUGUACGGGGCAAGUCCCGUAGCUAACGCGUUAAGUCCUGCGCCUGGGGAGUACGGUCGCAAAGACUGAA